UGAAUCGCCAUAGACAUAAACUUGGAGAAGUAGCUCCGGUUAGAAUGUUCUCCCACGGGAUGCGUGCAGUUCUGUUUAUUAACCGCUAGAGCGACAAAAUUUACAUAGUGUUGCUUUAAAUCAGGUGAGGAUUUUAAUUCAGUCAAUUUUAUUCAGAAAUCCAAGCUUUUUAUGCUUCACUCUUCUUAUAUUAUUCUGUUUGGAAUCAUAUAAUAAUCAAAAACAAAUAGCCAAACCAAGUGAUGAAUAAAAACCAAUUAGAAGCAGGUUAAGGAUUAUUUGAUGCAUGAUGAUGAAAGAAAAGUACUUGAAAUGUAUGAACCACAGGAUUGUAUAGCUUGUAUAGGAGAGCGCAAGACCUCCAACUCAUAUUCAUCAGCAAGUGUUCUCUGUUAUGAAGUUUUCCAACGUGCACAGCCCUAUAGAUGAAACUAAACCUAGCAUCCCAAAGUCAUGCAGACGGCAAAUACGGACCGUAUGUAAUAUGACUGUGAAGUGCACGAUGAAAGCAGCACUUUGGAAGAGGCGCAUAGGAUUAAAAAUGUUUUAUUUGAUUGUGUCUGAGCAGACAUUACAGUAUUAUUAAUUUCAGUGUAUUUCGAAAUGUUUAUUCUUUUUGUGUUUAUGCAUGUGUAUAUUGUGUAAUACCAUCAGUAUUAUUGUCACUGACAAAUGUUUCAUUUGUAGAACCUUUUAUAUAUGUCUUAUUUUUGUAUUGCUUUAUUUAUUGCGUGUGUGAUACACACUGUAGUUUAACACAAUGUAUUUUAGAAUUAAUCUCAGUGCCACGAAGGAGGUUAAACCCUUAUAUAUAAAGCUGAACUUCACAGUAUUAGUUUUAUAAUUUCAAGUUAUUUUUAACUCUACCACAGAAAGUCAGUUAGGCAGACAUAUGUACCCAUCGCUUUGGUUUUUCUUAAAUCUGAAGCUUUCCAACAGCUUCACAGUAAUUCAUAAACCUGUGAUGAAGAGCAUGGAUUCAUGUGGUUGUACUGGUGUUGAAAUUGCAUUUUGGAACCAAAAUUAGUCAAGCCAUUUUUUUGUUUUUGUUUUUAUUUGUGCCAACUCUGAAUUGUGUGUGUAAAUGUCACAUUUUCCACAAAGUUGAUGAACGUAUUUGUAGGAUUUUUCUUCUUUUCUUUCCUUUUAUGAUGCCCCAUAAAAUAAAAUGAAAUGAAGCACCAGGUAAUUUCAAAAUUACUUAUUUAUUAUCAAACAAAUGUACUGAAAGAGUGCUAAUAUUUUAUAAUAUUUAUAAAAACAGUGGGUGUCCAGGAAGAUGUUUAGCAUUUCAUUUAAAGCUUAAAAAACUAAAGCUUUUAAUACUUAAACCUUAGCAGACAGAGUACAUGUUCAGCACUGUUAAGUGACAGCAUCCAGUUUGUGAGGUUUUGUAUUUAAAAAUUCAGGAAAACACUAGAUUAGGACAAGAUCUUCAAAGACUUGCAAAUUUAAUAUAUGUUUUUUUUCGUUUGAAAAAGAAAAUGUAUCCAUUUGAAUGGAGAGAAAAUAUUUAGCAAUUUCCACUUAAGAGUGAAAUAAGAGAGCAUUAGAACUAGAAAUCAGUGAACAAAA